CUCAGUGGAUGUGAUGACUUUUUUCCCCAACAUAUCGACAAUGCUGAUAUUGUGCUGAAUUUUUAGCCAGUAUUACCUGAUCUGCUGAG